rnacentral:rRNA from 1 species
AUUGAACGCUGGCGGCAGGCCUAACACAUGCAAGUCGAGCGGAGCGGCGGACGGGUGAGUAAUGCCUGGGAAUCUGCCUGGUAGUGGGGGAUAACGUCCGGAAACGGGCGCUAAUACCGCAUACUAUCAGAUGAGCCUAGGUCGGAUUAGCUCGUUGGUGGGGUAAAGGCGUACCAAGGCGACGAUCCGUAACUGGUCUGAGCGGAUGAUCAGUCACACUGGAACUGAGACACGGUCCAGACUCCUAGGGUAGGCAGCAGGGGGGAAGAGGGGACAAUGGGCGAAAGGCUGAUCCAGCCAUGCAGCGUGUGUGAAGAAGGUCUUAGGAUUGUAAAGCACUUUAAGUUGGGAGGCGUUACCAACAGAAGAAGCACCGGCUAACUUCGUGCCAGCAGCCGCGGUAAUUC